GGAAUUCUACUUCCGGCGCUAAAAGGACAGACCUACGCUGUGAGGAGGGGGCCUUCAGCGAUGAUAUAUAAGGGGCCCCGCUGCGUUGCAAGUUCUUUCCUGUGUAUCCGUUAUGGCGGGAGAAGGAAGGAUCGAUGCAGUUGGCCUGCGCCGUCUGAGCGGUAUCGCCGCCAUCCUGCGAUUUAUCGGUCGUGGUGCGGGGCCGUUCUCCUGAGAUGCAGCUGCAAUGGAUGGUGCCGAGCUCCGCUGUGAUGGACAGAGGUUCAUCCUGACUGUAAUCUGGUGCUGCAGAGGUUAAGGUGCAGCAGGGUGUUCCCUCACAGGAUCAGGCUGUAUACUGGAGGUGCAGCACUGUUACCUCCAACAGGAUCAGGCUGUAUACUGGAGGUCCAUACGGUUAAAAUGAUCCCCCUACUUGUAUAGGUUGGAUAUUGUCUUCUGGAAAAAUCAUAACUUCAUGCAGGUACCUUCCUGCAGUCUGUAAAGCCCUGGAACCUGAAUGUCGGAGCUUGUAAACAUGGAGGCAACUGAGGAGUCAACCGAUCUGUAAUAGACUACAAAGGAGUCUGUAAAUGUCACCUGACUAUGUGCUUAAUAAAUGGAGUCUAUAAAA